GAGUUUGAUCAUGGCUCAGGAUGAACGCUGGCGGAGUGCCUAACACAUGCAAGUCGAGCGGCAGCGCGAGUAGUUUACUACUUGGCGGCGAGCGGCGGACGGCUGAGUAACGCGUGGGAACAUGCCCCAAAGUGAGGAAUAACUGCCCGAAAGGGUAGCUAAUGCCGCAUACGAUCUUCGGAUUAAAGGAUUUAUCCGCUUUGGGAGUGGCCUGCGUACGAUUAGAUAGUUGGUGAGGUAAUGGCUCACCAAGUCUACGAUCGUUAACUGGUUUGAGAGGAUGAUCAGUCAGACUGGAACUGAGACACGGUCCAGACUCCUACGGGAGGCAGCAGUGAGGAAUCUUCCACAAUGGACGAAAGUCUGAUGGAGCAACUCCGCGUGCAGGAUGAAGGCCUUCGGGUCGUAAACUGCUUUUAUGAGUGAAGAAUAUGACGGUAACUCAUGAAUAAGGGUCGGCUAACUACGUG
rnacentral:rRNA from 1 species